UACGGAGGGAGCAAGCGUUACUCGGAAUUAUUGGGCGUAAAGGGCGCGUAGGCGAUCUGACAAGUCUGGUGUGAAAGCCCACAUGUUAACUGUGGAAGUGCAUUAGAAACUGUUGGAUUUGAGUUCAGGAGAGGAAGGCAGAAUUCCCGGUGUAGCGGUGAAAUGCGUAGAGAUCGGGAGGAAUACCAGUGGCGAAGGCGGCCUUCUGGACUGACACUGACGCUGAGGCGCGAAAGCCAGGGGAGCAAACGGGG
rnacentral:rRNA from 1 species